GUGGAUAUAGCUCAGUGGUAGAGUAUGUGCAUGCCUGAGGUCCUGGGUUCAAUCCCCAGUACCUCCA
rnacentral:tRNA from 1 species